rnacentral:rRNA from 1 species
AUUGAACGCUGGCGGCAGGCCUAACACAUGCAAGUCGAACGAGUGGCGGACGGGUGAGUAAUGUCUGGGAAACUGCCUGAUGGCGGGGGUUAACUACUGGAAACGGUAGCUCAUACCGCAUACCAUCGGAUGUGCCCUGAUGGGAUUAGCUAGUUGGUGGGGUAAAGGCUCACCUAGGCGACGACCCCUAGCUGGUCUGAGAGGAUGACCAGCCACACUGGAACUGAGACACGGUCCAGAGUCCUACGGGAGGCAGCAGUGGGGAAUAUUGCACAAUGGGCGAAAGCCUGAUGCAGCCAUGCCGCGUGUAUGAAGAAGGCCUGCGGGUUGUAAAGUACUUGCAGCGGGGAGGCGUUACCCGCAGAAGAAGCACUGGCAAACUCCGUGCCAGCAGCCGCGGUAAUUC